rnacentral:rRNA from 1 species
CUAAAAUCUCAGCCCUAACUUACCGAAUAAACAAAACACCCUUUAACCUCGAAUUAAAACAUUUUAACAAUCUAGUAGAGGCGAUCGAAAAAGUUCUUAGAGCUACACUGAAAGUACCGCAAGGGAAAAGUGAAAUAGAAAUGAAAUAAAUUUUAAGCAUAAAACAGUAAGGAUUUACUCCUGUACCUUUUGCAUCAUGGUUUAACUAGUCUAAUCAAGCAAAAAGAUUUAAAGUUUGACCCCCCGAAACUAAGUGAGCUACUUCAGGGCAGCUAAAUGAGCAAACCCGUCUCUGUUGCAAAAGAGUGGGAAGACCCUUAAGUAGAGGUGAUAGACCUACCGAACUUAGUGAUAGCUGGUUACUCAAGAAAAGAAUUUAAGUCCAACCUAAAAUUAGACCAUAUAAAUAAAUAUUACCCCCUGAUUUUAGAGCAAUUCAAAUAAGGUACAGCCUAUUUGAACUAGGAUACAACCUCCACCAACGGGUAAUCAAAACAACACCACACAACCAAGUAGGCUUAAAAGCAGCCACCUUUUAAAUGGUGUCAAAACCUAAUUAUGUAAAUGUAUAAUCCCCUCACCCUAUGAGAACCCUUCAACAUUAUUGAGUAAUUCUAUACUUUUAUAGAAAAUUUUAUGUUAAAACUAGUAACAAGAAGAUGAACUUCUCCUUAAUGUAAAUGUAAAUCAGACAGGACCCCCCACUGAUAAUUAUUAUUAUGGAACCUAAAGUAACAACAAAAUAAUAAACAAGAAAACCUUACUUUAUUUUAUAUUAACCUAACACAAGAGCAUUACAAGAAAGAUUUAAAGAAAAAGAAGGAACUCGGCAAACCUUAACCUCGCCUGUUUACCAAAAACAUCGCCUCUUGUCACCCCAAUAAGAGGUCCAGCCUGCCCAGUGACCCUGUUCAACGGCCGCGGUAUCCUAACCGUGCGAAGGUAGCGUAAUCACUUGUUCUUUAAAUAAGGACUAGUAUGAACGGCAUCACGAAGGUUAUACUGUCUCCUUUUUCCAAUCAGUGAAACUAAUCUCCCCGUGAAGAAGCGGGGAUAUGUAUAUAAGACGAGAAGACCCUAUGGAGCUUUAAACUUUAAUCAACCGCCACUAACUUUACUAAUUUCAGAAAAUCAAAUUUAAACCCGGCACCCUUGAUUUGAAGUUUUCGGUUGGGGUGACCACGGAGCAAAAUUCAACCUCCGCACUGAAAGGACUUAAAACCUUAGCCAAGAGCUACGACUCUACGCAUCAAUAACUUGACACUAAUUGACCCAAUAUAUUGACCAAUGAACCAAGUUACCCUAGGGAUAACAGCGCAAUCCUCUCCAAGAGCCCCUAUCGACGAGUGGGUUUACGACCUCGAUGUUGGAUCAGGGUGUCCCAGUGGUGUAGCCGCUACUAAAGGUUCGUUUGUUCAACGAUUAAAACCCU